GUUCUGCCUUGAUAUCUGGUUUUUACUAGCAACGCCGGCCGGGAGUGCUGAUUCGAAUUGGACCUGUACCGUGUUGAUUGCCCAGCGUUCGUCAAUCCGCUGUCAUGGGUGUUGAAGAGGAUCUCGAAGAUUUGAAUGCCCUCGCGGAGUCUACUGAUGCCGCUGUCGAUAGUCAGGCUCUGGGUUCUGCUGUCGAUAGUGUUACCCUUCAACCGACCCUACCAGUUCUUCCACCCGUGAUCCCGCCUCCCGCCGGGCCUCCGGUUGCUCUUGUUCCUACGAAUCCUCCGGUCAUUCGACCUCUGGCACCUCUACCCCUCCGCCCUCCUGUUUUCAGGCCUCCUGCACCCAAAAAAGAAGAGGCCGGAAGUAGUGACUCGGACUCGGACCAUGACGAUGGGGGGCGUGCGGGCAAUGUUCCUGGGUCGACCGCCGAGUAUGAGAUUACAGAAGAGAGCAGGCUGGUGCGGGAGCGGCAUGAAAAGGCAAUGCAAGAUCUGAUGAUGAAGCGGCGCGCUGCCGCUCUGGCAGUGCCCACUAAUGAUAAGGCUGUACGUGCUCGUCUUCGCCGGCUCGGAGAACCUAUGACCCUCUUUGGGGAAAGAGAGAUGGAAAGACGGGACCGGCUGCGGAUGCUUAUGGCUAAAUUAGAUGCUGAAGGGCAGCUCGAGAAGCUCAUGAAAGCCCAUGAGGAUGAGGAGGCCGCUGCUUCCACUGCACCGGAGGAUGUCGAGGAAGAGAUGCUUCAGUAUCCAUUCUAUACUGAAGGAUCUAAAGCUCUUUUGGAUGCUAGAAUAGAUAUUGCAAAAUUUUCGAUCACAAGGGCUGCCCUGCGUCUUGAACGGGCAAGAAGGAGAAGGGAUGACCCUGAUGAGGAUGUGGAUGCAGAGAUAGAUUGGGCAUUGAAAAAGGCCGAGAGCUUGUCCUUGCAUUGCAGUGAGAUUGGUGACGAACGACCUCUUUCAGGCUGCUCUUUCUCGCAUGAUGGAAAGCUGCUUGCCACAUGUUCCAUGAGUGGAGUUGCUAAGUUAUGGGACACAUGCCGCAUGCCUCAAGUAAGUAAAGUGUCUACAUUGAAGGGUCACACAGAACGUGCUACUGAUGUGGCCUUUUCUCCGGUGCAAAAUCAUAUAGCAACUGCUUCUGCUGACCGGACUGCAAAGUUAUGGAAUGCUGAAGGAACUGUCUUGAAGACUUUUGAGGGGCAUCUGGAUCGCCUUGGUCGUAUUGCAUUUCAUCCAUCAGGGAAGUACCUGGGUACAACUAGCUUUGACAAGACAUGGAGGUUGUGGGAUAUUGAUACUGGUGAGGAACUACUUCUUCAAGAAGGCCAUAGUAGAAGUGUUUAUGGGAUAGACUUCCACCAGGAUGGAUCUUUAGUGGCAUCUUGCGGACUGGAUGCUCUUGCACGUGUUUGGGACCUCCGCACCGGUAGAAGCAUCCUUGCUUUGGAAGGACAUGUUAAGCCAAUUCUGGGAAUCAGCUUUUCACCCAAUGGAUAUCAUUUAGCAACUGGUGGUGAAGAUAAUACCUGUCGUAUUUGGGAUUUAAGAAAGAAAAAGUCAUUGUAUACUAUUCCUGCUCAUGCAAAUCUUAUAUCAGAAGUGAAAUUUGAGCCUCAAGAAGGAUAUUUUCUGGUGACUGCAUCAUAUGAUACUACGGCAAAGGUCUGGUCGGCCAGAGACUUUAAGCCGGUGAAAACUUUGUCAGUGCAUGAAGCCAAAAUAACAUCAAUGGAUAUCACUGCGGAUGCAAGUCAUAUAGUUACGGUGUCGCAUGACAGAACAAUUAAGCUUUGGACCAGUGCCGACGACAUGAAGGAACAGGCCAUGGAUGUUGACUAAAUUCGGUUUCAGUUAGCGUGUACUAUUUGAGCGGGAGCACAGAAAUUGAUCCUGUCGGAAGUUGGUAAAUGUCUGCGCAGAUCUGAGGAACAAGCUUAAGACGUCGGAUAGGCGUACUGCUGUCCUCGUUUCAAUGCCAGUCGUUAACGCUAUACAACAAAAAGGAAAAUCAACCCCCAUUUGCUUGAGGAGGUGGCAAGUAGCUUUGGAUGAGCUACUCUUGCAUUCUAUAGGUGUACUGCAUCUUUCGCUUACAUAAUUUAGUGCAUUAAUCCUUGGUACUUUAGGGAAUUUAGUUUGUUAAAAAAUUCCAAUUUGCUUGCG